GGACCAUCCUCCAAGGCUAAAUACUCCUGACUGACCGAUAGUGAACCAGUACCGUGAGGGAAAGGCGAAAAGAACCCCGGCGAGGGGAGUGAAAAAGAACCUGAAACCGUGUACGUACAAGCAGUGGGAGCACCCUUUGGGGUGUGACUGCGUACCUUUUGUAUAAUGGGUCAGCGACUUAUAUUCUGUAGCAAGGUUAACCGUAUAGGGGAGCCGGAGGGAAACCGAGUCUUAACCGGGCGUUAAGUUGCAGGGUAUAGACCCGAAACCCGGUGAUCUAGCCAUGGGCAGGUUGAAGGUUGGGUAACACUAACUGGAGGACCGAACCGACUAAUGUUGAAAAAUUAGCGGAUGACCUGUGGCUGGGGGUGAAAGGCCAAUCAAACCGGGAGAUAGCUGGUUCUCCCCGAAAGCUAUUUAGGUAGCGCCUCGUGAAUUCAUCUCCGGGGGUAGAGCACUGUUUCGGCUAGGGGGCCAUCCCGGCUUACCAACCCGAUGCAAACUGCGAAUACCGGAGAAUGUUAUCACGGGAGACACACGGCGGGUGCUAACGUCCGUCGUGAAGAGGGAAACAACCCAGACCGCCAGCUAAGGUCCCAAAGUCAUGGUUAAGUGGGAAACGAUGUGGGAAGGCCCAGACAGCCAGGAUGUUGGCUUAGAAGCAGCCAUCAUUUAAAGAAAGCGUAAUAGCUCACUGGUCGAGUCGGCCUGCGCGGAAGAUGUAACGGGGCUAAACCAUGCACCGAAGCUGCGGCAGCGACGCUGAUGCGUUGUUGGGUAGGGGAGCGUUCUGUAAGCCUGCGAAGGUGGCCUGUGAGGGUUGCUGGAGGUAUCAGAAGUGCGAAUGCUGACAUAAGUAACGAUAAAGCGGGUGAAAAGCCCGCUCGCCGGAAGACCAAGGGUUCCUGUCCAACGUUAAUCGGGGCAGGGUGAGUCGACCCCUAAGGCGAGGCCGAAAGGCGUAGUCGAUGGGAAACGGGUUAAUAUUCCCGUACUUGGUGUUACUGCGAAGGGGGGACGGAGAAGGCUAUGUUGGCCGGGCGACGGUUGUCCCGGUUUAAGCGUGUAGGUGUGUGUUCCAGGUAAAUCCGGUUCACUUUAACACUGAGGCGUGAUGACGAGGCACUACGGUGCUGAAGCAACAAAUGCCCUGCUUCCAGGAAAAGCCUCUAAGCAUCAGGUAACAUCAAAUCGUACCCCAAACCGACACAGGUGGUCAGGUAGAGAAUACCAAGGCGCUUGAGAGAACUCGGGUGAAGGAACUAGGCAAAAUGGUGCCGUAACUUCGGGAGAAGGCACGCUGACACGUAGGUGAAGUGAUUUACUCAUGGAGCUGAAGUCAGUCGAAGAUACCAGCUGGCUGCAACUGUUUAUUAAAAACACAGCACUGUGCAAACACGAAAGUGGACGUAUACGGUGUGACGCCUGCCCGGUGCCGGAAGGUUAAUUGAUGGGGUCAGCGCAAGCGAAGCUCCUGAUCGAAGCCCCGGUAAACGGCGGCCGUAACUAUAACGGUCCUAAGGUAGCGAAAUUCCUUGUCGGGUAAGUUCCGACCUGCACGAAUGGCGUAAUGAUGGCCAGGCUGUCUCCACCCGAGACUCAGUGAAAUUGAACUCGCUGUGAAGAUGCAGUGUACCCGCGGCAAGACGGAAAGACCCCGUGAACCUUUACUAUAGCUUGACACUGAACAUUGAGCCUUGAUGUGUAGGAUAGGUGGGAGGCUUUGAAGUGUGGACGCCAGUCUGCAUGGAGCCGACCUUGAAAUACCACCCUUUAAUGUUUGAUGUUCUAACGUGGACCCGUGAUCCGGGUUGCGGACAGUGUCUGGUGGGUAGUUUGACUGGGGCGGUCUCCUCCUAAAGAGUAACGGAGGAGCACGAAGGUUGGCUAAUCCUGGUCGGACAUCAGGAGGUUAGUGCAAUGGCAUAAGCCAGCUUGACUGCGAGCGUGACGGCGCGAGCAGGUGCGAAAGCAGGUCAUAGUGAUCCGGUGGUUCUGAAUGGAAGGGCCAUCGCUCAACGGAUAAAAGGUACUCCGGGGAUAACAGGCUGAUACCGCCCAAGAGUUCAUAUCGACGGCGGUGUUUGGCACCUCGAUGUCGGCUCAUCACAUCCUGGGGCUGAAGUAGGUCCCAAGGGUAUGGCUGUUCGCCAUUUAAAGUGGUACGCGAGCUGGGUUUAGAACGUCGUGAGACAGUUCGGUCCCUAUCUGCCGUGGGCGCUGGAGAACUGAGGGGGGCUGCUCCUAGUACGAGAGGACCGGAGUGGACGCAUCACUGGUGUUCGGGUUGUCAUGCCAAUGGCACUGCCCGGUAGCUAAAUGCGGAAGAGAUAAGUGCUGAAAGCAUCUAAGCACGAAACUUGCCCCGAGAUGAGUUCUCCCUGAGACUUUAGGUCUCCUGAAGGAACGU
rnacentral:rRNA from 1 species